rnacentral:rRNA from 1 species
UCUACUGAGAGUUUGAUCCUGGCUCAGGACGAAUGUUGGCGGCGUGUCUAAGGCAUGCAAGUCGAGCGAUUUCUUCAGUGUAGCAAUACACGGAAUAUUUAGCGGCAAACGGGUGCGUAACACAUUGGUAACCUGCCUUCCAGUCGGGCAUAACUCACCGAAAGGUGUGCUAAUUCCACGAUACACUCCGCAUGUUAGUAGUGCGAGAGGAAAGCGCAAAACGCGCUGGAAGAGGGGCCUAUGGCCUAUCAGCUAGUUGGUGAGGUAACGGCUCACCAAGGCUAUGACGGGUAGGGGGUGUGAGAGCAUGACCCCCCUCACUGGGACUGAGACACUGCCCAGACACCUACGGGUGGCUGCAGUCGAGAAUAUUCCUCAAUGGGCGAAAGCCUGAAGGAGCGACGCCGCGUGCAGGAUGAAGGGCUUCGGCUCGUAAACUGCUUUUGCUAGGGACGAAACAUGACGGUACCUAGAGAAUAAGUGGUUGCUAACUCUGUGCCAGCAGCAGCGGUAAUACAGAGACCACAAACAUUGUCCGGAUUUAUUGGGCGUAAAGGGUCCGCAGGUGGUUGUGUGCGUCACGGGUUAAAUUCCAGGGCUCAACUUUGGAACUGCUCGUGAUACGACACGACUAGAGGCUGGGAGAGGUAAGCGGAAUUACCGGUGUAGUAGUAAAAUGCGUUAAUAUCGGUAAGAACACCAAAUGCGAAGGCAGCUUACUGGAACAGUUCUGACACUCAGGGACGAAAGCGUGGGGAGCGAAAGGGAUUAGAUACCCCUGUAGUCCACGCCCUAAACGAUGAAUGCUAGAUAUUGGGAGUAUCGACCCUCCCAGUGUCGGUUAAAAUAGUUAACAC